AAUAUGCGCGCACGCAUGGCUUUCCAUAGUUAACAAAAUUGUUUUCAUGACGACGAAAAUAUUCAUACAAAAUUGAGGUUGGACCGUUAGUGCAUCAUUUUCAGGAAGAAAUUGGAACGCCAUUAGAAGCAGUAUAACAAACUGCGUUGGACCCAUCAAUCCCUGCUCUUAUCUCUCCAUCAAACCUCCCAUCUUGACUGCGGCUGUGCUGUGAUUUCUAGAACUGCAGGGUUCCCGGUCAACAGCAGGCAUGCCAGACAAUAAGAACCAGUUCAAGGAAGUGCUCCCGAAACAGGGCCUGGUCUAUCAGGAGGAACAACCCACCAUGGUCCUUUGCAAACCGAAACUCCUCCCACUCAAGUCUGUGACGUUGGAGAAGA